rnacentral:rRNA from 1 species
AAGGAAGUAAAAGUCGUAACAAGGUCUCCGUUGGUGAACCAGCGGAGGGAUCAUUA